CCUAUUUUUAGCUUUGCAUUUAUUGACAGUGGUUUCCUCCUUGUCUGCUUAUUCAGGCAGCAACCUAGAGAAUGCAAAGGUUAUUCGAUUUCCCCAAAUUGGCUUUCCAUGGGCAGAUCUGUGAAGUUUCUGAAGACAAAAAGAGAGGUCAUCGCUUCUUUCCAUCACACUUGCCAUAUACGUCCUGUGAGAGUCACCUGGAGACCCACACACUGCCUGCCUUCAAAGCUUCCUGACAUGAGAACAUACUCUCUGUUACCCAGAUUCCCACCAUGGUGAGCGUACGUCCGGCUGCGCGGCCAUGCGGGGGUCUGAGCAUCGCAUGGCCCAGAUUCCUUUCCUGACUUGCAAUUGUUCUGCUCCGUGACCUAUCUCCGUCAUCGCUCCCCACAGCCCUGAUUGCUGUCGCCCUCAAGUCCUGGGAAAGGCACUUAACCUCCCUGAGAUUCAGUUGUGACCUCUGUGAAAGAAAUUGUUCUGCAGCCUCACGCAAGAAGUGCUCUGGAAGCUGGGAAUGAGCUGCUUUUGCUCGUUAGCGAGAGCUCAACGGAGUUAAAAGUGGAGAAAGAAAUAGCAUAUGACCCCGAUAAUCCCUUCUGAUGCCUGCGCUGUGCCCCGCUACCUGACCUGCCUGUUCUGGGCCUACGCGAGGAGCCGUGGGAGCCGCGCAUCUCCCGCCCUGGGGCUGGCAGGGCCCCCGUGCUCACGUGGCAUUUCGGCGCUGUGCUCUCUCACACCCAGAUGUUUGCAUGGAGCAUACCAAGCAUUUUGAUAUCUUUUUGCCUUCAUCCCGAAGCUUUGCUGAGCAACUGAGCUCUCCCCUGCCCUACUGCUGAGUAUCUCACCUCCUGGUGCACUCUUCAUCUUCACCGUGUGAGUUAAGCCCUAGUUGCCCACGCUGAAAAUUUCAGAAGUCCUGAAUGAAUUUCUUCCCCUGCUGGAAAGGAAGUUGUCUCUUUUGUUUGAGAGCCGUGGCACGCUGCAGCAGGCUUCCUGUUAAGAUGCUUUCUCGUCCCAGUAACCCUUUGUGUCAUCCAAAACUCAUCUCACGAGCCGUGCGAGGAAUGCAGGCCUACACAUAAUCCUGAGGAACGUUUGAUGUGCUCCUGCUUCUGUUCUUGAAGACUGAGAUGAAUCAGCUGAUGAAGGAGGGGAAGCACGGGUGUAAUUUUAGCUCUUUGGUUCAGUGAAUGUCAGCGAAGCAGCCGGCCCCAUCCUAAAUGCUAAUAUCAGACAAAAGGUACCUGCAAAGCAACACUGAUGGAAAAAUCCCUAUGAAAAAUAAAAUCCUAUAACAAAUAGAUUUGCUUCCCACUUGAAAUACAGUGAAAAUGUUGCAUUAGCAAGUAAGCUAGUGGCUUACAAAUAUGUGCUUCUUAGUAUAAAGAAGUAGAAGAAAAACGCAGUAUGAAACAACUCGAGGUCAAUAAAGUAUGACACUGCAGCUUAUGGAUGAAAUUAAACCUCAGGCUCACAAUAUUUAAAUAGUGGUGCUUUUAAUAAAAGUUGCUGGGUUUGUUGUUUUUUGUUUUUUUUUUUUAAUUUUGCAUUGCCUAUUAUGUUUCAAAGGAAGAAAGACUCAAAUUUGAGAGCUUCUCAUUUCAGCUUGCAAUUGGCGUAUUCUGUGCGUUUCUGCUUUCAUUCUGAUUUUCAAUAGUGC
ensembl:lncRNA